UUGUUGGGAUUCUCCGGCAGCUCGAUGUGAUAAUUCAUGUAGCACGACCGGUUUGCGACGAGCCCCCCGACUCAAACCCGUUCCAAGAGUGACUUUGCUCAGCCAAUAACACUAUUCAAUAAUACGGAAUCAAUAAUACUGAUGGUACACAUAAAAUGUUUUUACAGUCCAAGGUUACUUUUGCAAUUAUGUCAUCCACGAUUGCGAAACUUUAUGGAAAUAUUGACGCGUCCUGUUCACAUAAUAAUUGUUAUCUCUGUCAAUAUUUUUAUCAUACGACGUUGCGAGGUCUCCGUACAAGGGAUGCCAAUGAUGGCCCAUCCGUAGAUGACCGCACUGGGACUGACGCGUCGCAAACGUGCCGUAAUCACAUUUACGUAAUGCAUCUCCAGCUGUGUAAAAACAUCGAUUCUGCGUGAACGAUGAAAAGCCUUCACGUGCACCGUCGACACUCCCGACAAAUCUCGAUUUUUAGGAAAGAAACGCAUGACGCAAUAUCGGUGUUCGGGAUAAGUAAUGCUGCACGAUUCAUGAUAUAUGAUUGGAAAGUCGGAUUUUUAGAAUCGGAUACAUAUUGAUUUACGAUAAACAAUCGUGUAUGAUGCAACGCCAACGAACAGUGACGUCAAUAUAAUGGUGCAAUGUAUUCGUGAUUGGAACCAGCGUUGAUAUUUAAGAAGAAGGAUAUUUAGAACGAUCAGCAGGAUUCAUCUUUGAAUCGAGCAACGAUUUAGCGAUUAUUAAUCAUUGUAUAAUAGGACAAAAAUAUUUGGAUAAUCUUCGGGAAUCGAUUUUGCGGAAGAUUAAGUAAUUUCUUAAUUCUUUUAUUAAAUUUUGCUCUCUUUGUUGAAUCGACAUAAGUUGAAAAAUUAUAGGGGUAGAAGAGAACUAAUGAAACACGUGUUUCUUUGUCAAAGAUCAAUGUUGAUUGAUGGAAGGGUAUCUUAGAAGGAUAUGACACAGAGACGAGUGGACUUUUUCCUUUAAAAAAAACACGCUUUUCCUUCUCGAGGAUGUGGAACAGAUGAAUAGCACGUGUGAGCUUAAAAGCUUGAAUUUUCUAAAAUUGUUGAGUAACAAUUCUUUUCAAAUUAAACGUAACUGUUCUGAGCUCCAAGUAACAAGUAUAUUUUAAAUCUGUUAAAUUCUAGUUUGCACGUGUAACUAUUCAACGGUUCCAAAAGCUGCGUCGGAAGAAUCUAGAAAACCCGAAGAAAAAUAGCAGAAACUGGAGCAGGUGUUUACAAGUUUAAUUAGAGAAGGGAGGAGAGAGUGUCAUGUUAGCGAUCUGCCUCUUGUGCACGUGUGCUCCAAGGGAACAAUGCCCGUGCGGGAUCGCGGAAUAUCGAUAGCAGGGGUUAUCGGCGUCGGUUGUUCUAUUGUGCCGGCGAAGUUCUACGUCAAACAAACAUCCCUCGAUGAUAAUCGAGUCGCGCUAACUGGCGCAAUUGUAGGCGCGCACUGCAACGCUCGUACUUUCACCUUUGAGCUUGCGUGUUUAAAUCGAUCCUCCUCACGUGUCUGCGGCGCAUCGUGAACUCGCAUAACUCUCGUACAGUAAACCCGUCUCUUGGAUUCUAUUUUUAGCAGUAAAUACUAUGGCCACCUAUAGUAUAUAUAUACACAUAUAUAUGUACAUAUAUCUACCCUCAAGUUUAUGUACUCACGUCCAUCUUUCCAAUUUCCUGACACAAAUUUUGUUUGAAUAGAUGUGUCUGCAAAAUUGGAA
rnacentral:lncRNA from 13 species